AACAAUGUAAGAUAAGUUUUAAUUUUUUUAUUUUAUAUAUAUAAAGUUUGAUCCUUGCUUAGUUAUAGCUUCUUUAUUAGCUUAUUUUAUAUAUUUUGUAUGUUUUAAUAAUAAAUUUGUAGUGAAUUGAUUUAUUGAUAAGGUUAAUCUUGAUGUAGUAAUGUUAAAUAGUUCUAAGUCAAUCCGUGCCAGCACUUGCGGUUAUACGGAUAGGGCGAGAGAGGAUGUUAGGUAAAAAGAAAUUAGUCUGUAAUUUGUAAGGACUCGGAAUAGUUUGUUUUUAGGUAAAAUUAUAAAUAAAUAAGUUUUAGUCCGGUUGAUUUAAGGCGAAAGGUUUAAAACUAGGUCAAUAAACCUGGAUUAGAUACCCAGUUAUUUUUAGCGUAGGUGAUGUUACCAGAGUAGUAUAAGAGAUCUAGAAAUUUAAGGGAUUUGGCGGUAUUUUACUCCAACUAGAGGAACUUGCCCUGUAAUCGAUAUUACCCGAAGAGCUUACUUCUUUUUGUUUUCAGUUUGUAUAUCGCUGUCGUCAGAAAACUUUAAUAGAUUGUGUUUUCUUUUUGUAUUAUCUGCAGGACGUCAAGUCAAGAUGCAGCAUAUAGAGAAGGCUGAAUUGGUGAGUUACAAUAAUUAGUAUUAUUACGGAUCGGUAUAUGGAAAUAUACUGUGAAGGUGGAUUUAUUAGUAAACUUUUAUAAAUUAGGAAAUUUGACUUCUGGCUCUAAAAUAUGUACACAUCGCCCGUCGCUCUCAUAUUUAGUUGAGAUAAGUCGUAACAUAGUAGGCGUAUUGGAAAAUGUGCCUGGACAUAA
rnacentral:ncRNA from 1 species